UCACGGGAGCUCACUCCGUUACGUGGCACUAGGGAUUCGAACCGCUGAACUGCCGACCUUUCGAUCGACAAGCUCAGUGUCUUAGUCACUGAGCCACCGCAUCCCUUGUUAGCCAAAGUCUGCAGCAGCUAAGAGUCACUAAAUCACACCCCAAUUUUAAAAGAUGAUUACAUCCUGUUUCACGGGGAAAAAAACCAUCCGCCGAAUU